ACUCCUACGGGAGGCAGCAGUGGGGAAUAUUGCGCAAUGGGCGAAAGCCUGACGCAGCGACGCCGCGUGGGGGAUGACGGCCUUCGGGUUGUAAACCUCUUUCAGCAGGGACGAAGCGGAAGUGACGGUACCUGCAGAAGAAGCCCCGGCUAACUCCGUGCCAGCAGCCGCGGUAAUACGUAGGGUGCAAGCGUUGUCCGGAAUUAUUGGGCGUAAAGAGCUCGUAGGCGGUUUGUUGCGUCGGCUGUGAAAUCCCGAGGCUCAACCUCGGGUCUGCAGUCGAUACGAGCAAACUAGAGUGUUGCAGGGGAGACUGGAAUUCCUGGUGUAGCGGUGAAAUGCGUAGAGAUC
rnacentral:rRNA from 1 species